rnacentral:rRNA from 1 species
AUUGAACGCUGGCGGCAGGCCUAACACAUGCAAGUCGAGCGAGCGGCGGACGGGUGAGUAAUGUCUGGGAAACUGCCUGAUGGAGGGGGAUAACUACUGGAAACGGUAGCUAAUACCGCAUCCGAUCAGAUGUGCCAAGAUGGGAUUAGCUAGUAGGUGGGGUAACGGCUCACCUAGGAGACGAUCCCUAGCUGGUCUGAGAGGAUGUCCAGUAACACUGGAACGGAGACACGGUCCAGACUCCUACGGGAGUCAGCAGUGAGGAAUAUUGCACAAUGGGCGCAAGCCUGAUGCAGCCAUGCCGCGUGUGGGAAGAAGGCCUUCGGGUUGUAAAGCACUUUCAGCGGGGAGUCGUUACCCGCAGAAGAAGCACCGGCUAACUCCGUGCCAGCAGCCGCGGUAAUAC